CCCUUAGAUGUUCUGGGCCGCACGCGUGCUACACUGAGUGGAUCAGCGGGUCAGGUUGCGCGAAAGCGUUUCCUAAUCUUUAAAUCCGCUCGUGAUGGGGAUUGACGGUUGCAAUUUUCUGUCAUGAACGAGGAAUACCUUGUAAGCGCGGGUCAUCAUCCCGCGCUGAAUACGUCCCUGCCCUUUGUACACACCGCCCGUCGCUCCUACCGAUUGAGUGGUCCGGUGGGGCUUUGGGAUCUGAGCGGAAAGAGCGUCUCGCUGUUUCUGCUCGGAAAACUCAGUCGAACCUUAUCAUUUAGAGGAAGGAGAAGUCGUAACA
rnacentral:rRNA from 1 species